AAUCAACGCUGGCGGCGUGCCUAACACAUGCAAGUCGAACGCGGUCAUCCCGCAAGGGGUGACUGAGUGGCGAACGGGUGAGUAACGCGUGGGUGAUCUACCUUUGAGUGGGGAUAACGUUCCGAAGGGACGCUAAUACCGCAUGACGUUCUGGGUUCGAAGACCUGGAAACCAAAGCUGGGGACCGCAAGGCCUGGCGCUUGAAGAGGAGCCCGCGUCCGAUUAGCUAGUUGGCGGGGAACGGCCCACCAAGGCGACGAUCGGUAGCCGGCCUGAGAGGGCGGACGGCCACACUGGGACGUGAGGACACGGCCCACGACUCCUACGGGAGGGCAGCA
rnacentral:rRNA from 1 species